GACGAACGCUGGCGGCGUGCCUAACACAUGCAAGUCGAACGGAGUUAACCGCUGAAUUGAAGGUAGCUUGCUACUGAAUUUUCUUGGUUAACUUAGUGGCGGACGGGUGAGUAACGCGUGAGCAACCUGCCUUACAGAGGGGGACAACAUUGGGAAACCGAUGCUAAUACCGCAUAACAUAUAUUUGUGGCAUCACAGAUAUAUCAAAGGAGCAAUCCGCUGUAAGAUGGGCUCGCGUCCGAUUAGAUAGCUGGUGAGGUAACGGCUCACCAAGUCGACGAUCGGUAGCCGGACUGAGAGGUUGAACGGCCACAUUGGGACUGAGACACGGCCCAG
rnacentral:rRNA from 1 species